GGCAGGCCCAACCAAGCACUGCUGCACAGCCUUUCUCGUGUGACAAGUUUAUUGGAUAAAUGUGUUACAGCCUGUCUUGGAGGCUCUACUUGGACAAAGCGAAGAGAAGCAUGUUAGAGCUGAGGUGACUGAAACACCGCCCAGAACCAUGACUUGGCCUACAUAACCUCGUGUCAGAGCCUGCUCGGAUCUGCAGUGUGAGCUGCCGUGGGGCUUGGUCUGAGGGCACUCUGUCCUGUCUCAGCAUGGAGGCUGCAGUGUUUAUUCCUGACGUUGCCAAUAGCACCUCAUUUUCUCCUAGAGGGGUCUUCAGAGGAAGCCAGCAAAAGGUGGUCCUGGAGUUGUAACACCAGCCCUGCACCAAAUGUCUGCACUAAAGAAUCAUUUCACAGAUACUGUUUUUCAGAACUGUCUACAGAUAAAAAAUGUGGGCUUAAAAUGAAUCCUUACAGGAUAUCCACUAAGUGGAUUCAUGGCUGAUCACUCACAUUUACUGCUGUCUCCUGAGGGGAUGCUGCUUAACAAGCUCACCGGAUGGCAUGGCUAAUUUGUAAGUCAGUGCUUCAGCUUUGUCACUUACAACAUGCAGCAUCUUUUUAUGCAGCAAGAACAUCUUUAAUCUACAUACUCAACAUCAUCAAGCUGUUCAGGUGUGACCAUACUAUAAAACCUACAUGAUUCUAGUACAGCUCUGUGUAAACAUUAUUUAUUUAUUUGCUCUAUCAGCCUACGUCAGC